CUUCCGUGCUGUGUCUGUGAGGCAGGACCCACAGGUUUUGCACCAGCUGACUUUCGGCAUUUUUUAAAAAAGGCAGACCCCGAUGCAGAGCGUGUUGCACUAGUCUAUUGUGGAUAUAACUAGUCAUGAAACCUUAGGCAGCAUAUGUGUGAUUCUCAGGUGGUCACCCCUCCAGGCAGUCACCAGACCUGCAGGCUGGAGCAAGAUAAUGUGCCUUCAGAUUUGACCCUUCACUUCAGAAAGAGGUCUGAGAAAUGAGUAAGAGAAAGAAGAUUCUCUACCCUUUGUGUCUACCCUGUGGGCUGCUAUAAACUCACUUUGACAGCCAACCCAGUUCCAGUGUAGAGGCAACAUUCUACCUUGGAUGACUUAUACAGUCGGGGAAACUUUUAUGAUUUUUUGAUUAUGUAGA